ensembl:lncRNA
UGCACAGCCGGUAAACGUUGUAACGACAACAGUAGAGUACCACGCCACAGCUCCCUUCCUCUUAGUUGCCAUCCAUCUGCGCGCGCAAUAGCGAUCACGGAAAAACCUCUCCAUCACUUACCGAGGUCUCGGUGAUGAUGGCGUCUUCCUCGUGUCUCGAUAUCGGGUCGGUCGCUGUGUGUAGGGGUAAUUUGUGUGUGUCGCUCUCUCUCUCUCUCUUCUUAUUAUCUCCCCUGUCUCUCUCUCAAGGACGAGGUGAAAUCCGUGCUCUGGUCAUCCGGCGGCUUCACAGACAAAACCAACACGCAGCGGCAAGAACAAUAUACAAAAGGCAAGGAAGGGACAGAGGGGAGGAGAAGUCAAUUUGUUUAGUGGCACUGAGACAAAAAAAUAACUGUCACCUAUGGAGGCGGGUUAAAACUGGAGAUAGUUUAUAUAAUACUGGCCAAGGCUAUAAGUCAAACUGUAGGCUAGAACAACAGUUUUAGAUUGUCUCUGCGUGCGCUCUCAGCUCAAAGGUGUGUUUUCCCGCGCACUGUAGCCUACCUUGUUAAUGCCACAGUAUUGUGCAGAAGAGGCUAGGGGUGAUAGGCAGCAGAGCAUAGAAAAUGUGCUUCUAAUGUUGUCAAAAACUCAAAUGUUCGUUCCUGUCCAAUUCGCUUUCACGGUUCAAGAGAUGGGCCUUUUACGUCGCAAUUCUGUAACACAAGGAGCAAAGCGCAACUCGGAGGGACUUUUCUAUUCCAAAGUUAGCCCAUAUGAGAGAAUUUCCCUCACUGCUCUGAGAAGUUGGAGAGAAGGGGGUGCAAAUGUGUCAAGUAACGGGAUGUCUAAAUGGAGUGACCGCAUAAGUCAGCGUCUCUGUGCUCCUCCAGAUCCCCCGGGUUUCGCUGCUACCCACCCCAGCCAAAUGACACCCCGCUGGGGCUACAGCAGAGGUCUCUCCCCGAACAGACGGCUCUACAUCCACAGAGGUGUUCAUGGAAUGCAUAGGUCUAAUUGGGCUCCUGAGUGGCACAGCGGUCAAAGGCACUGCAUCUCAGUGCUUGAUGCGUCACUACAGCCACCCAGGUUCGAUUCCAGGCUGUAUCACAUCUGGCCGUGAUCGGGAGUCCUAUAGCAUCAUCCGGGGUAGACCUUCAUUGUGAAUAGGAAUUUGUUCUUAACUGACUUGCCUAGUUAAAUAAAGGUUAAAAAAAG